rnacentral:rRNA from 1 species
GACGAACGCUGGCGGCGUGCCUAAUACAUGCAAGUAGAACGCUGAAGGAGGAGCUUGCUUCUCUGGAUGAGUUGCGAACGGGUGAGUAACGCGUAGGUAACCUGCCUGGUAGCGGGGGAUAACUAUUGGAAACGAUAGCUAAUACCGCAUAAUAGUAGAUGUUGCAUGACAUUUGCUUAAAAGGUGCAAUUGCAUCACUACCAGAUGGACCUGCGUUGUAUUAGCUAGUUGGUGGGGUAACGGCUCACCAGGGCGACGAUACAUAGCCGACCUGAGAGGGGGAUCGGCCACACUGGGACUGGGACACGGCCCAGACUCCUCCGGGAGGCAGCAGUAGGGAAUCUUCGGCAAUGGACGGAAGUCUGACCGAGUAACGCCGCGGGAGUGAAGAAGGUUUUCGGAUCGUAAAGAUCUGUUGUAAGAGAAGAACGAGUGUGAGAGUGGAAAGUUCACACUGUGACGGUAUCUUAACAGAAAGGGACGGCUAACUACGUG